GCGGUAGUGCUUGUUUCGUGAUCAAUCUUCAGAAAAACCCAUUUUUAUUUACUUAAACUCUUCUCGUUUCUAUUUAGUUUUUUACGCUAUUGACAACUGUGUGUUUGGGUUUCGAACUGUGCUAUAGUUUUCCUUUGUAGUGUGCGACAAAUCCGUGAAACAAUACAAAUAUUACGCGAAACAAUUAGGUUACAGGCCAGUGUUGAGGAUACUCGUAAUUUUGCAUACAGUGAACUCACUCGGUACUUUCCCAGCAUUUGACGGUCUUCAAAGGGUAGUUUAUAUCAUGCUGUUGGGGUGAAAUAAACUGUCGCACUGGGUCAAUACAUAUUUGAUGGCUGUGGCGGUUCCUAACUGCCACUCGAGGGUGUCAAUGUCUGUCUCGAUGAGCCUAAUGCAGGGUACAGCCGGGCCUACGACCGGAGCAGGGCAACAAGGAGGCCUGCAUGGGGCCCAACCCUACUAUCAUCCACAGCAUGCCGCAGCACCGGCCCAUACACAGGAACAGGUCCAACCGGAUAGGCCCAUUGGGUACGGAGCCUUCGGAGUUGUUUGGGCCGUGACAGACCCCAGGGACGGCAGACGAGUGGCACUGAAGAAAUUACCAAAAGUGUUCCAAUCGGUAAUAUCCUCGAAGAGAGUUUUUAGGGAAUUAAAAAUGUUAUGUUUCUUCAAGCAUGAAAACGUUCUCUCCGCCUUAGACAUUCUUCAACCCCCACACCUGGAUUUCUUCCAAGAAAUAUAUGUAAUUACAGAGUUGCUUCAAAGUGAUCUACAUAAAAUUAUAGUCUCACAUCAACCCCUUUCAUCGGACCAUAUAAAAGUUUUCUUAUACCAGAUUCUUAGAGGUUUAAAAUAUUUACAUUCAGCUAGGAUAUUACAUAGGGAUAUUAAACCUGGGAAUCUUCUGGUUAAUAGUAAUUGUGUUCUAAAGAUCUGUGAUUUUGGUUUAGCAAGAGUAGAAGAACCCGACACGAGCAAAAACAUGACCCAAGAAGUAGUUACGCAGUACUACCGGGCCCCCGAGAUCCUCAUGGGCACCACGCAUUAUUCCGCCGCGGUAGACGUGUGGUCAGUGGGUUGUAUUUUCGGCGAGCUUUUAGGUCGUCGGAUACUCUUUCAGGCGCAGAACACUGUCCAACAGUUAGAACUGAUCACUGAGCUGUUGGGCACGCCCUCCAUGGAAGACAUGAAGCACGCUUGCGAAGCUGCCAAGUCGCAUAUGUUGAGGAGAGUACCCAAGCCACCGUCGCUGUCCGCGUUGUAUACUCUCUCAUCACAAGCGACGCAUGAAGUUGUUCAUUUGUUAUGCCAAAUGCUGGUUUUCAAUCCGGAUAAACGAAUAACAGUAGUGGAGGCGCUUGCACAUCCAUAUUUAGACGAAGGUAGGUUAAGGUAUCACUCUUGUAUGUGCAAAUGCUGCUACACAACGGCGAGCGGUAUGAGGCAGUAUACGUCAGAAUUCGAAACUACAGCACCACAACCUUUCGACGACCAUUGGGAGAAAAAGCUUAACACUGUACAGCAAGUUAAAGAGGAGAUGCAUAAAUUCAUAGCAGAACAACUAAACACAAGUAGAGUCCCUUUAUGUAUAAACCCCCAAUCUGCGGCAUUCAAGAGUUUCGCCAGGUAAGAUGGCCGCCAACGCCGCAGACCAGCGCAGCGCCAUUGCAUAGGAAGGAUGAUAACAGCUGUGCACCCUUCAAGAAGACCCUAGAAAUUCUGUUAUCACCCGUCAUCUUUCUCUGUGCUGCGUGACUGCAUUUCUUUUUUUAGUUCGACAGUAGCCCACCCAUCAGAACUACCCCCUUCACCGCAUCAGUGGGAAUCACCCAGGGUGGUUGUACGAAGAUAACGGUCGUUAAUGUAUAUUGUACCAUUCUUUGUCUCUCUAUUUACCUUUUAAAAAU
rnacentral:misc_RNA from 1 species